ensembl:lncRNA
CUCACAGAAUAAAGUUAGUAACAGGGCAGUGACUGAUGGCCGGGCCAGAUGGGGAGUCUCCCCCACUAACUUACUCCUAAGGAUUUACUCUCUCUCCUUUCCUUCUACGACUAACCCAAGUCAAAGCAUAGGUAUUAAAGUUCCCAGGAACUGCUGAUUCAUCGACUCUCUCGCCAGUCACUGACAGAAAAUCCUACUUAAUGAAAUGACUCCCAUCUUUAUUGAGUAUUCUUCACACAUGGACAUUUUGAUUGACAUAUCCAAGUCAGACAACAAAACUCAAUUUUAAAACAUUUAAUUUUAAAUUUUAAAUAUGCCAUCCUUUAAGCCGUUACUCUAUUUCUUCCAGCGUGCCUUAACUCCUUACAGUGACAGGCACCUAUUCGCUUCAAGAUGCCUCCUUUUGGGAAGGAGUCUAAGAUAGCAUUUAAUUCCCAUUCUAAAGCGCCAUCUUGGUCACCACAAUGAGAGGUGAAAAGAACAUCAGAUAUCACACCAGAAAGUCUGUCCAAAUCAAGGUAGUGAAUCUCCAUGCCAUGUGCCUAGAGUAAACAGAAAUAUUUCUAGCCUUACUUUCCUCAUUGCCAAAAUAAAGAUCACAGUGCUUGCCUUACAGCACUGUUCUCAAAACAAAAUUAAAUUUAAAAACAUGUACAUAUAAUGUGUAAAUACUAAAGGUUUAUCAUUGUCGUCGAACAUGUGCAAAGAUUGUCCAUUGAUUAUUCAGUGGAAACUUAUCAAGCAUUAUCACAGAGCAAAGUUUUUACUAAGCAGUGAAGAUACAAAGGCCCUAAGGAUAGGGCUUUGAUUGGAGGAGGGCUGGAGCUCAAAAGGAUAAAGUUUGCACCAAGGUGACGUGUGUCAGAGAACUAGAGAGAGUAUCCCAGUUGGAUCAUUGCCCCGUGGAGCAUGGGAAGUGAGGGAAAGUGAGGACUCCUGUGUGGACACCAGAAGGAGUUGCUUCAUUUCAGAUCCAGCAUCAAGAAAAGACACCCACAUCAUUCUUCUGGGGGUGUUCAGUGCACUCCACAGUCCUGGGUCCAGGGCCAGCUCAGAACAGUCUUUCUCUGCCUCAGCACCCCUGAUACGUAGUGUGCCUAGUGUGGCGUUGUGGGAAGCUGCCCCAUGCAUCACUGGAAUGUUUGCUGGCAUCGCUGGUUUCUCCUUACUCAAUGCCAGUAGUGCCAUCUCCCCGCCACCAGCCGUGACACUGAUAAACGACUUCAAGUGAGAACUAUAACCUCGAAGUCAUGAGACACCAGUACAGAUGCUCGCAGAAGGAAUGGAAUUCAUUUAGAUGGUGCCUAGACAUAUACAGUACCCAGCGAAUACGAAGUCCUUUUGGCAUAUGUUGGCCUAUUCCUGAAUUUCAUCCAGAAGAGAUGCUGGAUGAAGCCCCCAUGUGAGAGGUGACAAUAAAAUCGUGUCUUUUUUUUUUUUUUUAAACAGUGCUUUGUGAUCCUGGGCAAGUCACUCAGAUUCUCUGAGCCUCAGUUCUUCAAGGGAGACAAUGAAUUCUGUUCUGUAAGCUCACUGGAAGGAUUAAAUGAGAUAAAUAUAAAACUUACAGCCAUAGGAGUCUUGAUAUACAUCUCGGGAAUCAUGGGAAAAUGGGAAUCAUGCUGCUGGGCAUGACUCAGUAGAAAUGCUUGCCACAUAAGCCUCACAGCAUAAGUUCAAUCCCCAGAACCCACAGAAAGGUAGAAAGAGAAAACCAACUCCACAAUUAGUCAGUCAGUCUCUCCCCUCUCUCCUGUCUGUCUGUCUGCCUCUCUCCCUCUCCCUCUCUCUCUCUCUC